UUCUACUUGGAUACCUGUGGUAAUUCUAGAGCUAAUACAUGCUAAAAACCUCGACUUCGGAAGGGGUGUAUUUAUUAGAUAAAAAACCAAUGCCCUUCGGGGCUCUUGGGUGAUUCAUAAUAACUUAACGAAUCGCAUGGCCUUGCGCCGGCGAUGGUUCAUUCAAAUUUCUGCCCUAUCAACUUUCGAUGGUAUUGUAGUGGAUUACCAUGGUUUCUACGGGUAACGGGGAAUUAGGGUUCUAUUCCGGAGAGGGAGCCUGAGAAACGGCUACCACAUCCAAGGAAGGCAGCAGGCGCGCAAAUUACCCAAUCCCGACACGGGGAGGUAGUGACAAUAAAUACUGAUGCUGGGAUCUUUUGGUUCGAGCAAUCGGAAUGAGCACAAUCUAAAUCCCUUUCCGAGGAACAAUUGGAGGGCAAGUCUGGUGCCAGCAGCCGCGGUAAUUCCAGCUCCAAUAGCGUAUAUUAAAGUUGUUGCAGUUAAAAAGCUCGUAGUUGAAACUUGGGCCUGGCUGGCCGGUCCGCCUCACCGCGUGCACUGGUCCGGCCGGGCCUUUCCUUCUGGGGAGCCGCAUGCCCUUCAUUGGGUGUGAUGGGGAUCCAGGACUUUUACUUUGAAAAAAUUAGAGUGUUCAAAGCAGGCCUAUGCUCGAAUACAUUAGCAUGGAAUAAUGGAAUAGGACGUGUGGUUCUAUUUUGUUGGUUUCUAGGACCGCCGUAAUGAUUAAUAGGG
rnacentral:rRNA from 1 species